UGGCUUGGGCACCUACCAAUCUCAAGUUUGGGGUCUUGCGGACCAUGCGUAAUGAGGUUUCACAAUCCGCACCAACACGAACACAUCUAGAGCAAGGUCUUGAUUAUGUGCCGACCUCAAGCCACCGACCUAUUCAGCCAUGUAGCUAGACAAUCAAUUAAAAUCUCCUAACAAACAAUAAGAAUGUGGCCACCACCCACGAC
rnacentral:lncRNA from 1 species